rnacentral:rRNA from 1 species
UAAAAAUUGGUUGUUUAAUAAUAGGUAUUGCAUAUCAUUUAAAGAUAAUUUUAUUGUUAAUAAAAUAUAGAAUAAAAAGGUAGAAAGCUUAAUUAUUUUAUUGUUUCAUAAUAAAAAUUAUAAGUUUUAGGGUUGAAAAGUCGACUUUUUAGAUAUCUGUUUUGUUAAUUUAUAUUAGAAAUUUAUGUAAAUUUAAGGAAAUUAUAUAAAAAGUAAAAGUUGAAGUAUUUAUAGGUUUAGUUUUAUAACUGUUUAUAUAAUUUAUAUAUAAAAAUAUUAUAAUUAAGGUUAUUAAAAUUUUAAUAAUUUAAUUAUUUUAAAAUUAGUAGGUUUAAGAAAUUUGCAUGUUAAUUGUUAAUAUAAUAAAAUAACUAAAUAAUUAAUCAAAUGUUUUUUAAAGACUUAGACUUUCAAGUUAAAGUUUGCUUCUGCCCAAUGAAAAAUUAAUUGGCUCUCUUAGCGU